rnacentral:rRNA from 1 species
GAUGAACGCUGGCGGCGUGCCUAAUACAUGCAAGUCGAGCGAACAGACGAGGAGCUUGCUCCUCUGACGUUAGCGGCGGACGGGUGAGUAACACGUGGAUAACCUACCUAUAAGACUGGGAUAACUUCGGGAAACCGGAGCUAAUACCGGAUAAUAUAUUGAACCGCAUGGUUCAAUAGUGAAAGACGGUUUUGCUGUCACUUACAGAUGGAUCCGCGCCGCAUUAGCUAGUUGGUAAGGUAACGGCUUACCAAGGCGACGAUGCGUAGCCGACCUGAGAGGGUGAUCGGCCACACUGGAACUGAGACACGGUCCAGACUCCUACGGGAGGCAGCAGUAGGGAAUCUUCCGCAAAGGGCGAAAGCCUGACGGAGCAACGCCGCGUGAGUGAUGAAGGUCUUCGGAUCGUAAAACUCUGUUAUUAGGGAAGAACAAAUGUGUAAGUAACUAUGCACGUCUUGACGGUACCUAAUCAGAAAGCCACGGCUAACUACGUG